GACGAACCGUGCGACCGUUGUUCGGAAUCACUGGGCUUAAAGGGCGCGUAGGCGGGCUGUCCAGUCUGGGGUGAAAUCCCACGGCUCAACCGUGGAACUGCCUCAGAUACUGACGGCCUCGAGGGAGAUAGGGGCAUGCGGAACUGUAGGUGGAGCGGUGAAAUGCGUUGAUAUCUACAGGAACUCCGGUGGCGAAGGCGGCGUGCUGGAUCUCUUCUGACGCUGAGGCGCGAAAGCUAGGGGAGCAAACGGG
rnacentral:rRNA from 1 species